GUCUCUGUGGCGCAAUCGGUUAGCGCGUUCGGCUGUUAACCGAAAGGUUGGUGGUUUGAUCCCACCAGGGACG
rnacentral:tRNA from 1 species